CUUCUUCCUUAAUCAGAUGUGACUGAGAGUUCAUGGCUUGGGAUGCGGUGACACAAAGAGACAAGACAUCUCUCUCUCUCUUUCUCUCUCUCAGCUUGGAGAGAGGCUGUGCGACAUUCUGCUGCCGAGAUAAGGAACUUCCAAUUUGGCACGAGCUGCAAACGGCGAUGAAGAUGGAGGGCCACUGCGUGCGUCUCUGGCUUUUAAUUCCCCCUGCCCUACUUCCUCCUCCUUAGUCCUGCUCUCCCCUCCCUCAAAGCCCAUCCGUGCUGUGUGCAGUGCCCUCAAAGAACAAGUAGGAGGAGGCUGUGUGUGUGUGUGUGUGUGUCUGUUGUUUGUGUAUGAAAGAAGGGCAGCCCCUCUCCCUGAGAAGAGACCCUCUCAACAACUCCAGGCCACCCUGCCGCAGCUUAUAGGUUCUCGGUGCCAGGAAGCCAUUUUGAUGGAGUCAAAUGCCGUUUUGUAAGAUGGCCGCAUUGACGUGAGAUUACUAUGAUGGGGAAUUUCAAGAACUUGGAAUUUUUUGGUCACGUUUACUACGGAUGAAGGCAUGCCUGCUUUUCCUGUUUCACAUGGACCUGAAUUUCAAACCAUCUUUCUUCAGGAUACCCUACACAGCAAGAACUUUCUUGGGACUCUAGUCUUUGCAUUUUCUGGAUUGUCUAAUGAGACAGGGAACUGGGCCACUAAAGCCCGUCUCUGGCAUGGAAAUGGGACCGUGUUGGGUCUCCAUCUUUCUAGGGUCUGCCAUGCUUUGCUGAUUUGGAUCACACAUGGAAACCAAGAGCAGCUCUGUACAGCUAGAUGCUGAAGGAGGAGGAGGAAAAAACCAUGGCAAAGAAGAAAACGUCUGAACUGUGAACUCUCUUAUCUGUAGUCAUUGAUGUCAUUAAGAGGGAUGUGAUAUCAUUGAUAUGGCUUGUGACUCAAUGGAGAUAGACAGCUGGGGGACCUGAGCUGAUUGUUGGGGGCUGAUUUCACCUAGGAUCACUUAACCUUUUUGGCACAGGCAUUAGAAAAUGACGGGCCAGUAGCUUUUCAAAAUUACCGGUAUACCUAUUGAAGACAUGUAUUUCCACUUUGACUUGGCUACACCAUAUUUAGUGUGUUCUUGGGUGCAAACUCAGGUGACACAUGAUGCUAUGCAGGCCUGUUAAACAUCAGUGUAGCUUCUGAAGUGUGUACUCUUUCAUCAAGGAGUUUCCCCAUGGCUCCAGAUUUCAAGGGAAGAUCAUUGAUUGGGGAAGCUUGUCUGCU